ensembl:rRNA 5S_rRNA 5S ribosomal RNA
GUCUCAGGCCGUAUCAGCCUGAAGGCGCCCGAUCUCGUCUGAUCUCGGAAGCUAAGCAGGGUCGGGCCUGGUUAGGAUCUUGGAUGGGGAGACCACCUGGGAAUCCCGGGUGCUCGAGGCU